ACUUCCGGCGGAAGUCCGUGCGGACGGCAGCUGGAGGCGGGGCCUGCCGCUCGCGAAAGAGCUGUCCCGGGUGUCCCUAAAUGCGCGCCUGGGCUCCUCCAGAAGGUGGUCGUGUCUUGGGGCCGGAAGGUCGAACUUUGGGACGCUGUUGCCAGAAAUCUUCCUAAACGACGGUCCUAAGCUAGCGCGGGCGAGAACGCCGGUGCUGUGAAGCGGCCCGAGCCGCCUGGCGGCUUCGGUAGAACCAAGCCAAGCAGGGGCUCCGGCUGGCCCGUGGCAGGCACCCUUAGGGGCUCCUGUACUGAGUCUUCAUGAAGGGCAGGAUUUGCUUUUUUGCUUUCUGCCAGCCACGCCGUUGGGCUCUGUCCGAACCGUUCCAGUGUCUUUGCGCCUGCUGUCUCAGAACAGCUCUGAACAUGCUGCCCCUGGGAACAAUGACAAUUGCUUGACUCCAAACCUGGAGGAUAAGAACUAAGGCUGUUUAAUGACAGUUGAACCUGGGGUGAGAAGAGCUGCUUCCAAACAUAGCAUGGAGAAGUCUCCCGUGGAGCGUUCCUUUGCUCCGAACGCCUCCGAAUCCGCUGGGACCAGUCUAUUCUUGAUGCCUCUGAAAAAUCAGUCAGGCCUGUCUUCCCUUUGAAGGGAAAUGUUUGAUCUCCAAACACUGGCUUUAAAGCUCUUCUCUUUUUCUGUCUUUGCUACCUACCCCAGCUUCUUGAUUCCUUUUCUUCUUCCUUUUUAAAAAACUUACAAGCUGGGCACCUUCUGGUACAUGAUGUGCAAGGCCAUCAUGAACUUGUGGACACGGUAUUGAAAAACAAAUUCCCCAAAUCAGAAGAUGUGAUGCCCCCCCCCCCCGCCUCGGGGGCGGGGGGACUGUAAAUUAUGGAUGGAACGUCAUCACUUAUCCAGAGUGGGCUGGAUUGCAUCAGUGUCUCCAGCUGACUCACCUUGCUGCUUAAUUCUGAGCUUGUGGGGGCCUCCAAUGAGGAGGCUGAGGAGCCAGUCUGGGAGAGGGAUGACGGCAGCUUGGACCAAGAUGGUGGCAGUGAAGUGCAGACAGCAGGUGGGUUCUGGUUCUAAUUUGAAAGUAGAAGGUAGAGUCCAUAGCCUGUGCUGGUGUUUGAGUUUGGCACGUAAAAUAGAGGAAUCAAGGACGCCAGUCCUCCUCAGCUGCACCCGCCCAAGGGUCUCCUAGAGUCCCUUUUUCCAAACCCACGGACACCCCUCCCACCACCGGGAAACCCACAACUUGGCUCGACCUCCUGAGACUGGAGUGGGAAAUGCCAGAGCACAUCCUGAGCCUUUUGGUUCAUCCUGGGCAAAGGCUUAAAGAAGGUAGAACGUGGAGCACGGAGCCAGGCUUGGACCGCAUCUUCCUUCCGUGGUUGAUUCCAGAGUCCUGGACCUCCAAGUCUUCCCCAGGGCUGGCCGGGAGUGGAGGCUGGGGAGGGUCAAACCCUCCCUCAGCCGCUGGAAGCUGGUGUGACCUGGGACAAGUCCCUUCGUCUCUCUGAAGCUCCAUUCUCUCCUCUCUACACUGGAGGCAGCCAUUCUGACUUUGUUGGGGAGCCGUGACAAGCAAACGAGAUUUUUAAAAAAUAUAUGAAAAUUGCUGGCCUGUGAUUGGGUCUGGCUCGGUAUAUGUGUCACUUUCCCCAUCCCCUUUAAAUGACAGGAUUUAGGAGUAUACCCCUCAAGUAAUUCAAGUUUUAAAAGUCAACUUUGUUGAGGGGCAUACAGCAUACUGCGUACAUAUGAAGUGGACAAGUUUUCUCGAGGUCCUUUGCAAUUCAUCCUUGCCUGUACCUCAGCCCCAGAAAUCACUGAUCUGCUUUCCAAUGUAAUAGAUGAGUUUGCACCUUACAGAAUUUAACAACAACGGAAUCAUAGAGCCUUU